rnacentral:rRNA from 1 species
UACGGAGGGUGCAAGCGUUAUCCGGAUUCACUGGGUUUAAAGGGAGCGUAGGUGGGUUGGUAAGUCAGUGGUGAAAUCUCCGAGCUUAACUUGGAAACUGCCAUUGAUACUAUCAGUCUUGAAUACUGUGGAGGUUAGCGGAAUAUGUCAUGUAGCGGUGAAAUGCUUAGAUAUGACAUAGAACACCAAUUGCGAAGGCAGCUGGCUACACAAUUAUUGACACUGAGGCUCGAAAGCGUGGGGAUCAAACAGG